AUUGAACGCUGGCGGCAGGCUUAACACAUGCAAGUCGAGCGGGGUGAUGGUGCUUGCACUAUCACUUAGCGGCGGACGGGUGGGUAAUGCUUAGGAAUCUGCCUAUUAGUGGGGGACAACAUCUCGAAAGGGAUGCUAAUACCGCAUACGUCCUACGGGAGAAAGCAGGGGACCACUUGUGACCUUGCGCUAAUAGAUGAGCCUAAGUCGGAUUAGCUAGUUGGUGGGGUAAAGGCCUACCAAGGCGACGAUGUGUAGCGGGUCUGAGAGGAUGAUCCGCCACACUGGGACUGAGACACGGCCCAGACUCCUACGGGAAGCAGCAGUGGGGAAUAUUGGACAAUGGGGGGAACCCUGAUCCAGCCAUGCCGCGUGUGUGAAGAAGGCCUUAUGGUUGUAAAGCACUUUAAGCGAGGAGGAGGCUCUUUUGGUUAAUACCCAAGAUGAGUGGACGUUACUCGCAGAAUAAGCACCGGCUAACUCUGUGCCAGCAGCCGCCGUAA
rnacentral:rRNA from 1 species